GCAAACAACAGUGACAAUGUCUCCCAUUUAUGUAGAGCAAGAAGUAAGAGCAUUCUCAGUGAGGACAGCCAACACUGUCCACCCCGGCCCUCAGUUGCUGGAGGUCCUCACCUCUUCCCGGCCACAGGAGACCAGGUCACAGGCCCCACAACAACUCUCCUUGAGUGUGAGGCAAGUAUUGCAACUCACACUUCCUGUUUCCUCUCAGAGGGCUCUGUGGGAACUGGGGACUCAGAGCCACAACUGUGCUGUCAAGUGUGUGUCCUUAGUGCCUCGUGCAACAGACAAGGAGCUUCGCCUCCUCCGCCCUUAGCCUGCUCACCUACAUUCUGCCCACUAUAGAGAGAGGCCAAGGGUGCCAGUGAGCUCUCACCUGUAGCUCCCAGCACAGACCCAAACAAGGAAGGGCCACACCCUUCCACCUUGUCAUCGGAACCUGCUCUGGCCUUCAGUGGAAGGGAUUCCAUUCAAAGCAGUGAGGGGUGCAGGUCCUGGGGUCUCUGCAUCCCCUUCUACCCUGCACUCUUGUCCUUUAAUCUGUCAGAUGAAUUCAGACAAGACACAGGCAUUGGACAGGAGAGUGGCAGGUUUCUUAGAGAAACAAGGGAGGCCCGGGAGUGAGGGUGGGCAUCGGCCAAAGGGCCCACUGCAGAUGGAAGGCCCUCAAGGGGUGGACAAUGGCCAGAGGACCAC